CGGUAAAACCAGCACCUCAAGUGGUCAGGAUGAUUAUUGGGCCUAAAGCAUCCGUAGCCCGCUUUGUAAGUUUUCGGUUAAAUCCAUGUGCUCAACGCAUGGGCUGCCGAAAAUACUGCAUCGCUAGGGAGUGGGAGAGGUAGACGGUACUCGGUAGGAAGGGGUAAAAUCCUUUGAUCUAUUGAUGACCACCUGUGGCGAAGGCGGUCUACCAGAACACGUUCGACGGUGAGGGAUGAAAGCUGGGGGAGCAAACCGGAUUAGAUACCCGGGUAGUCCCAGCUGUAAACGAUGCAGACUCGAUGAUGCAUUGGCAUAAUAGCCAGUGCAGUGUCGCAGGGAAGCCGUUAAGUCUGCCGCCUGGGAAGUACGUACGCAAGUAUGAAACUUAAAGGAAUUGGCGGGGGAGCACCACAAGGGGUGAAGCCUGCGGUUCAAUUGGAGUCAACGCCAGAAAUCUUACCCGGAGAGACAGCAGAAUGAAGGUCAAGCUGAAGACUUUACCAGACAAGCUGAGAGGUGGUGCAUGGCCGUCGCCAGCUCGUGCCGUGAGAUGUCCUGUUAAGUCAGGUAACGAGCGAGAUCCCUGCCGCUAGUUGCUAUCAUUAUUCUCAGGAAUAAUGGAGCGAAUUAGUGGGACUGCCGUUGUUAAAACGGAGGAAGGAAGGGGCUACGGCAGGUCAGUAUGCCCCGAAACUCUGGGGCCACACGCGGGCUGCAAUGGUAGUGACAAUGAGUUCCAAACUCGAAAGAGAGUGGCAAUCUCUAGACGCUACCACAGUUAUGACUGAGGGCUGUAACUCGCCCUCACGAAUAUGGAAUCCCUAGUAACCGCGUGUCAUUACCGCGCGGUGAAUACGUCCCUGCUCC
rnacentral:rRNA from 1 species